rnacentral:rRNA from 1 species
GAUGAACGCUAGCGACAGGCUUAACACAUGCAAGUCGAGGGGCAGCGGGGGAGAAAGCUUGCUUUCUCCUGCCGGCGACCGGCGCACGGGUGAGUAACACGUAUGCAACCUGGCCGUCACAGGUGGAUAACCGGAAGAAAUUCCGACUAAUACAGCAUAACACUCCUGAGGGACAUCCUUCGGGAGUCAAAGGAGGCGACUCCGGUGACGGAUGGGCAUGCGGCGCAUUAGGUAGUUGGUAGGGUAACGGCCUACCAAGCCGACGAUGCGUAGGGGUUCUGAGAGGAAGGUCCCCCACAUUGGAACUGAGACACGGACCAG